CAGUCCUGUAGUGUAUCAUCUGACCACUUCCGUUUUGAGCGAGUCACUGGUACCUCCUGCUUUAGUUUUUGCUUGUAAACAGGAAUCAUGGUAUAAUUAUUGUCAGAUUAGCGAGGGAGAGCUCUGUGGAGUAAAAGUGGUCUGGAGAUUUGUUCGCUUCCGGUUGCACAUGUGACAUGCUGGUAGAAAUUAGGUAAAACGGAUGUAAAUUUGCCAGCAUUAAAGUCCCCGGCCACUAGGAGCGCCGUUUCUGGGUGAGCAUUUUCUGGUUUGAUUUUGGCCUUAUUCAGCUCUUUGAGUGCAGUCUUAGUACCAGCAAGUUGCAGAGAACGACUGCAUUGUUUGCUUAUCUAGCUAUCUAACAACUUGCAAGGCAAGUAUGUUCAUAUUACCCACCUUGAUGCAGCAGACUCUCCCACUGUGGUUCCAGCAACAGCUUUUCCAGAACCUUCCAGGCAGUGGAGGGGUGGAGGGAGUAUAAGACCCCAGCUCCUCGCAGGUUAAACCCAAAGCCCACACUCUGGAACACCACUAAACUCCGGAACACCCAGAACACUACACAGCUGCACAGCUCCAGGACACAGAAUACAUUUCACACAGCGCAAGGAAACUUCUGGAGGCCAUCCCUAACAACAGCAGCAGCUUGGCAGCCAGAGGUGUGCAGCAGCAGUUUUCUUAGGGUUGCCAUAGCAACACCCACCGAUGGCAACCUGCAAACAGUGCAGUCCAGCUCGUCACCAAGCUUAGGACCCAGGGUGGGACUGAACACCUCCCACUGCAACUGGAUAAUGGGCUUCCUGACGGGACAACCCCAAGUGGUGAGGGAAGGCUAUUGAUCCAGUAUUCCUGUACAUUGUUAAUAUGGUACUGGAACUGACUGACCAUGUAUAUACACUGUAGUAUGCUUACUUUUCGUGCUCUUCUUAUUUUUUAGUUCUCGUGUGUUUUUGUUCUCUCUACCUUAUGUUGUUUUUAGUAUUACAUUGUUAUUGAUUACUACAUUGUUGGGUUUAGAGCUUGCGAGAAGGGUAUUUCGCUGUACUUGUGCACUUGAAUUCACAGGACCGCUUUGCUCUGUCUCCUAGCUCAGAAGGAUCCCCAUGGCAACGGCAGCAGCAUUUGUCAGCUUCAUCAGAGAGUGAGAAGAGAGUAGGUAAAGGGUGAUUCCACAAUAAUGUAAUUACGCUGAGACUUAGGUUUUUCACUUUAAAACAUAUACCAAACAAAAAACAUUUAUUUCAUAGUUGAACAAACCAUAGGACUACUUAACAAUUUCCACUGAACAUUUUACAAUAACACCUUUUACAGGAAGAAUUGUGCAGAUACAAAGUUUGAUAACAGAAUAAAACUGAGGGAGAUUUUACCAUAAUUCUGUUAUCAAUCUUUGCAUCUACACUGUUUUUCCAGUAAAUUAUUCAUUUUAUUUUACUUUAAAUUGUUAAAAGUAGUCAUUGUGCAUAGAGCUGUAUGGUUUGUUUUAAAGUGAAAAGUAAGUCUCGGUGUAAUUCCGUUAGCAUGGAAUUGCCCUAACGUAAAUCUGCAUGCUGCUGGCAGUCUGCCAGCGUCUCAAAUAAAAGAGCACUUUGAACUGCUGCCCAGUUUGGAGGAGAGGAGCUGUCAGGCCUGCUUAAUGUUGGCAGUUUGUCAUUGGCAAGCCUUUCCCAGAAUUCAUCUGUCUGGCAACGUGCCAGGCACUUAGCUGAAGCUAAAAAAAUUAACCCCUGCGCUUGCAAAAUGUUCCACAGAGCGAGAUGGGGAGAGAGACAUCAGCACAGUUGGUAUGUGAGCGGCUCAGUGUAUGCGUGAGGGGCCAUGGGGAUAUCACAGGAUCCUUUCAGGAUGGAGGCAGGCGGGAUCUAUUAACCUCCUCUGCUUUGUUUUGUGUAAAGCUAUGUAUUUGGUUGUUUUAAAGUCUUCUGAGGUCUGAGGCAGAAUUUGUAAAUCGUUUUAAUUGUUGCGAUGUUGAGUUCUGCCUGUGAUAUAGUUCUGCCUGUGAUAUUUAUAGUACUGACCUUCCACUUACAUAGAUGGAUUUACGUUAUUGGGUAGUUUGGCUAGUUGAUGUGGCAUAGAUUUGUAAUAAGCUUAUGUUUGAAUUGUAUCCAUAUGUGUAAACCUAAGAGAGAAGGCACUGUUUUGCCAUUUGCUUUUAGGAUCAUUCAGACCUUUUUUUUUUUUUUUUUUUACUGAGUUUGCGCUCCACACUUAAAUCAAGCAAAACUAUUGGUGUUGGAAUUGUAUUGAACCGCGCCUGGCACGCAGGCCCAGUGUUGGAAUAAAUGGCACAAACCCUUUUUCUUCCCAUGCCA